rnacentral:rRNA from 1 species
UAGCUAGUUGGUGAGGUAAAGGCUUACCAAGGCGACGAUCUGUAGCGGGUCUGAGAGGAUGAUCCGCCACACUGGAACUGAGACACGGUCCAGACUCCUACGGGAGGCAGCAGUGGGGAAUUUUGGACAAUGGGGGCAACCCUGAUCCAGCCAUGCCGCGUGAGUGAAGAAGGCCUUCGGGUUGUAAAGCUCUUUCGGCCGGGAAGAAAUCGCAUGGGCCAAUACCCUGUGUGGAUGACGGUACCGGAAUAAGAAGCACCGGCUAACUACGUGCCAGCAGCCGCGGUAAUACGUAGGGUGCGAGCGUUAAUCGGAAUUACUGGGCGUAAAGCGUGCGCAGGCGGUUUUGUAAGACAGGCGUGAAAUCCCCGGGCUUAACCUGGGAACUGCGUUUGUGACUGCAAGGCUAGAGUACGGCAGAGGGGGGUGGAAUUCCACGUGUAGCAGUGAAAUGCGUAGAGAUGUGGAGGAACACCAAUGGCGAAGGCAGCCCCCUGGGUCGAUACUGACGCUCAUGCACGAAAGCGUGGGUAGCAAACAGGAUUAGAUACCCUGGUAGUCCACGCCCUAAACUAUGUCAACUAGGUGUUGGGUGGGUAAAACCAUUUAGUACCGUAGCUAACGCGUGAAGUUGACCGCCUGGGGAGUACGGCCGCAAGGUUAAAACUCAAAGGAAUUGACGGGGACCCGCACAAGCGGUGGAUGAUGUGGAUUAAUUCGAUGCAACGCGAAAAACCUUACCUACCCUUGACAUGCCAGGAACUUGCCAGAGAUGGCUUGGUGCCCGAAAGGGAGCCUGGACACAGGUGCUGCAUGGCUGUCGUCAGCUCGUGUCGUGGGAUGUUGGGUUAAGUCCCGCAACGAGCGCAACCCUUGUCGUUAAUUGCCAUCAUUUAGUUGGGCACUUUAACGAGACUGCCGGUGACAAACCGGAGGAAGGUGGGGAUGACGUCAAGUCCUCAUGGCCCUUAUGGGUAGGGCUUCACACGUCAUACAAUGGUCGGUACAAAGGGUUGCCAAGCCGCGAGGCGGAGCCAAUCCCAGAAAGCCGAUCGUAGUCCGGAUUGCAGGCUGCAACUCGCCUGCAUGAAGUCGGAAUCGCUAGUAAUCGUGGAUCAGCAUGUCACGGUGAAUACGUUCCCGGGUCUUGUACACACCGCCCGUCACACCAUGGGAGCGGGUUCCGCCAGAAGUAGGUAGCCUAACCGCAAGGGGGGCGCUUACCACGGCGGGGUUCGUGACUGGGGUGAAGUCGUAACAAGGUAGCCGUAGGGGAACCUGCGGCUG